AUAACGACUCUCGGCAACGGAUAUCUCGGCUCUCGCAUCGAUGAAGAACGUAGCGAAAUGCGAUACUUGGUGUGAAUUGCAGAAUCCCGUGAACCAUCGAGUCUUUGAACGCAAGUUGCGCCCCAAGCCUUCGGGCCGAGGGCACGUCUGCCUGGG
rnacentral:rRNA from 1 species